ACCUAAUCUCUGUCACACCUGCAAGCACUUAAAAACCAGCAACCAAAGUCUUUCCCUUUUCUUUCCCAAAGCUGAUUCUCAUAGUUUUUUGCAGAGUUGAGAACAAUUUGUAACACAUCAUUUCCAAUAGUAAGAUCAGUGAUACAAGCAACUUUCCAUUUUCCAUCCCAUCUGUUGUUUGUGUGCAGACUAGAUCCCUCACUCUUGUUGUCAAAGUAUUGAAAGGCCGUGGCUAUAUCACGACAAUCAAGAUAUGGGAGGUGAAAAGAGGGGUAAGAAAACAAAGAAGGCUAAGGAGACGGGGGUUCCUCGGAGACCACCAGAAAACCUUGCGAUUAGAGAUAGAAGCCCGUCGCCAUGUCUCCCACCACGCGGCACUCCAUUGCUUCAUGAUCCCCUCAUGAAUGGCAUUGCAUAUAGUCUUACACCUCCACACAGCUUUGGUCCGCCCUAUAUGGCUGCACGCCAGGGCUUUACUGAGGUGCCUCCCCAGAGCCCCUCGAUGAUGUCCACACCAAGUUAUGCUACCCCACAGGGUUUCAUUCGAUAUACUCCCGGAUCUCAGGGGGCUGUGUCUAGUGGUACUUCGACGGCCACUCCCAGCCCGACUGCAUCACAUCACUCUUCAUCAUCUACUGAAUAGUAUGAGAUUACAGGUCCUGACCUUCGAGAAAGUAGUUAUGUGCCUCACACUCCUACUGCGAAUGACUUACUUGAAGGUUUGGUUAUCAGACAAAGCUUCAAGUCUCCUUACAGAUGAGAUACAAAAACUAUUUAAAGACUCACCUACUUGGGGCCAGAUGUCACCAAAUCACCAAGACAGAUCUAUUAUACGUUUAAGGUAUAUGCAUUUAUUAUUUUUAUUUAAACAAUCCACUUAUAUUGAUUGAUUCCUUAUUAAUAAACUCAUUUACUUUUCAUUGCAGGAAAAAGUGUCUGGCGCCGGGAACAUGAGAAGCAGCUAACUCAAAAUUUCAAGAAGAAAGCUCAGCGCUUACUAUGUGACAUGUUAGGAAGGGUUCGUCAAUCUCACAAGAAGCCUAAGUUGAUCCUUCCUGAAAACUAUAACAAGCUACUUCAUUACUGUGCAACUAAUAAAGAUUCUUACAACCGAGUGACAUAGGGAAGAAGGAUAGAAAUUCGACGAAGGGUGGAUCCCUACACACUAGUGGGGCUAUGAGUCAAGAGGCCGUGAGCAGGAAGCUGGCAAGUCUACAUUAACUCUACUUGAAGGAUUGUGAAUUUACUUUAUUUUCUUUAUGUCUUAUCAAUUUAUUCUUUUGCAAGAACUAAAAUGGGGAACGCCAUUGCCUCAAGAUGAGGUGUUCAAGAUCACCCACGUGAAGAAGAAGGCAAACGCUAAUGAUCCAGAUCACUGGUGUGAGAAACGGGCUAAGCAGACCUACAAUCAAUAUCAGCAUUCAAAGGUGGAGUUUCUUCGUACUCAGCCACCCAACACAUAGUUGACAGAAGAACAAAUGGAGGAAAGGUGACUUGGGAGUGUUGGUGGUCCCACUAGGUUUGGCACAACAUACGGAAUGCCACAUCUUGAAUUUUGUCAAUACAGGUCGCCCCUGGAAAGCAUACAUUCUUCCAAUACCGAGUCGUUUGAUAGAGUGAGUGCUAUGGCCAUGGAGCAAAAGAUUGCUGAGCUAUCUAGCCAGCUACAGGCCUCGGAGGAAAGGGGGAGGCGGAGGGAAGUGCAGCUUGACGGUAUGAGGGCCCAAUUAGACGCAUUACUUGCUUCGAGGGGGAUUCCCUCGUGUCCUAAUGAUGCUCGUAACCCCCAUACUCAAUCUAGUGGUGCGGAUGAUGAUGGGACUCACGUGUCAAACACAUAAAGGCAUGUUUGAAUGUUAAUGUUGUGGUAGAUUUGUGGAUUGUGUAAGUGUUUUGUGGAUGUUUGCGAGGGGUGAAGUAGUCUAAUGUCGUAGACUAACUUAGUGUAGACUAGUUUAAUGUUUUGUGGAUGUUUACAAAUGUUGAAGUACUUUAAUGUUGUUUUGACGUUUGCGAAGGUUGAAGUAGCUUAAUGUCUCUUGUGAAUGUUUGAUUGACGUUUUUAUUCAACUUUGAAGUAGUUUUGAAUUGAAUUUGAUGUAUUGGUGGUUGUAAUAUAUGUGUUGUAAUAGUA